rnacentral:misc_RNA from 1 species
CGAAUGGGUCCAAAGACUCUUAAAGCCUACCGUGCUCCCCUACGUGGAAAACAGGAAAGCCCUCCGGGGCAUAGGAAAUCUGAGAAGUUGAGAACUGCGCCCCGGCGCAUGACUAAAACAAAAAAUUA